UACGUAGGAGACGAGCGUUGUCCGGAGUUACUGGGCGUAAAGGGUGCGCAGGUGGUUGUGCGCGUGGGGGUGAAAUCGCCCGGCUUAACUGGGCGGGGCCUUCCAGACGGCAUGACUUGAGCAGCGGAGGGGGACGUGGAAUUCCGGGGUGGAGCGGUGAAAUGCGUAGAGAUCCGGAGGAACACCGACGGCGCAGGCGAGCGUC
rnacentral:rRNA from 1 species